rnacentral:misc_RNA from 1 species
GAUGAAGAACGCAGCGAAAUGCGAUACGUAAUGUGAAUUGCAGAAUUCAGUGAAUCAUCGAAUCUUUGAACGCAUAUUGCGCUCUCUGGUAUUCCGGAGAGCAUGCUUGUUUGAGUAUCAGUAAACACCUCAACUUCCAUAUCUUUUUUGAAAUAGGAGUUGGACUUGAGUGAUCCCAACGCUUUUCCUCACCGAAAAGUGGCGGGUUACUUGAAAUGCAGGUGCAGCUGGACUUUUCUCUGAGCUAUAAGCAUAUCUAUUUAGUCUGCCUAAAAAACAGAUUAUUACCUUUGCUGCAGCUAACAUAAAGGAGAUUAGUUCUUGUGCUGACUGAUGCAGGAUUCACAAAGACAGGCUUCGGCCGACUUUGUAAACUCGAUCUCAAAUCAAGUAAGACUACCCGCUGAACUUAAGCAUAUCAAUAAGCGGAGGA